GGAGAACAUUCCCAUUCAUAAUAAACUUCCUCAGAAGAAAAACAACUUUUCAGGAGUAUUCUAGGAGCAGCAAGGAUCCCAUAAAGGGCGAGGGAAAAGUGCCCACUGGAAACAGAGGCUUUCAACAGCUGACCACUGCUGGGAACUCAUAACAGAAAUCCAAGGCCUCCAAAGAUCCAAAUACAGUGAUGUUCAGCAAAAUGUCAUGCCAGAGGACCUCAGUUCUGACAAGCCCUAACGACCCACCAGAGGACAGUGUGGCAGUUGUGUCAGAUGAUCUUUGAAGCCCCCAUGCUGCAGUCUGCUCUGUGUGUAUGUUGCUUCUUCCAUGGCCUUAUCAUCUGCUCCUACCAGAGCUGUGGAGUGUGACAAUGGUGUUUGUGUCCAGUCUAUCAAACGCCAUUAUCACACUAAAUAGCUACUGGCAGACAAGACAUCAACUCAGAAAAGUUUGUUCGCUAUAGCAACAUGUCUUCCCACCGUGCUGAGAAAUAAAUAACCUUGGUACA